UGGGGAAUAUUGCACAAUGGGCGCAAGCCUGAUGCAGCCAUGCCGCGUGUGUGAAGAAGGCCUUCGGGUUGUAAAGCACUUUCAGCGGGGAGGAAGGCGAUAAGGUUAAUAACCUCAUCGAUUGACGUUACCCGCAGAAGAAGCACCGGCUAACUCCGUGCCAGCAGCCGCGGUAAUACGGAGGGUGCAAGCGUUAAUCGGAAUUACUGGGCGUAAAGCGCACGCAGGCGGUCUGUCAAGUCGGAUGUGACAUCCCCGGGCUCAACCUGGGAACUGCAUUCGAAACUGGCAGGCUAGAGUCUUGUAGAGGGGGGUAGAAUUCCAGGUGUAGCGGUGAAAUGCGUAGAGAUCUGGAGGAAUACCGGUGGCGAAGGCGGCCCCCUGGACAAAGACUGACGCUCAGGUGCGAAAGCGUGGGGAGCAAACAGG
rnacentral:rRNA from 1 species